AGCGCACGCAGGCGGUCUGUUAAGUUGGAUGUGAAAUCCCCUGGCUUAACCUGGGAACUGCAUUCAAAACUGACAGGCUAGAGUCUUGUAGAGGGGGGUAGAAUUCCAGGUGUAGCGGUGAAAUGCGUAGAGAUCUGGAGGAAUACCGGUGGCGAAGGCGGCCCCCUGGACAAAGACUGACGCUCAGGUGCGAAAGCGUGGGGAGCAAACAGGAUUAUAUACCCUGGUAGUCCACGCUGUAAACGAUGUCGAUUUGGAGGUUGUGGCCUUCACCCCUUACUGCCGGAGCUAACGCGU
rnacentral:rRNA from 1 species